UACGAAGGGUGCAAACGUUGCUCGGAAUUAUUGGGCGUAAAGCGCACGUAGGCGGCUUUGCAAGUCGGAUGUGAAAUCCCUCGGCUUAACCAAGGAAGUGCAUCCGAAACUGCAGAGCUUGAGUACUUAAGAGGAUCGCGGAAUUCCCGGUGUAGAGGUGAAAUUCGUAGAUAUCGGGAGGAACACCAGUGGCGAAGGCGGCCUUCUGGCUCGCAACUGACGCUGUAGCGCGAAAGCGUGGGGAGCGAACGGG
rnacentral:rRNA from 1 species